rnacentral:rRNA from 1 species
AUACGUAGGUGACAAGCGUUAUCCGGAUUUACUGGGCGUAAAGGGCGGGUAGGCGGCCUUGCAAGUCAGAAGUGAAAUUCCUGAGUUCAACUCGGGCGCUGCUUCUGAAACUGCAGGACUUGAGUGCUGGAGGGGAUAGCGGAAUUCCUAGUGGAGCGGUAAAAUGCGCAGAUAUUAGGAAGAACACCGGUGGCGAAGGCGGCUAUCUGGACAGUAACUGACGCUGAGGCGCGAAAGCGUGGGGAGCAAACAGGAUUAGAUACCCUGGUAGUCCACGCCAUAAACGAUGAAUACUAGGUGUAGGGGGUAUCGACCCCCUCUGUGCCGACGUUAACACAUUAAGUAUUCCACCUGGGGAGUACGGCCGCAAGGCUGAAACUCAAAGGAAUUGACGGGG